UGGGGAAUUUUGCACAAUGGGGGAAACCCUGAUGCAGCGACGCCGCGUGAUUUAGAAGGCCUUCGGGUUGUAAAAAUCUUUUCUAUGGGAAGAAAAUGACAGUACCAUAGGAAUAAGGACCGGCUAAUUACGUGCCAGCAGCCGCAGUAAUACGUAAGGUCCGAGCGUUGUCCGGAAUCAUUGGGCGUAAAGGGUACGUAGGCGGGUAAGCAAGUUAGAAGUGAAAUCCUAUAGCUCAACUAUAGUAAGCUUUUAAAACUGCUCAUCUUGAGGUAUGGAAGGGAAAGUGGAAUUCCUAGUGUAGCGGUGAAAUGCGCAGAUAUUAGGAGGAAUACCGGUGGCGAAGGCGACUUUCUGGCCAUAACCUGACGCUGAGGUACGAAAGCGUGGGUAGCAAACAGG
rnacentral:rRNA from 1 species